rnacentral:rRNA from 1 species
AAUCAACGCUGGCGGCGUGCCUAACACAUGCAAGUCGAACGCGAAAGGGGCUUCGGCUCUGAGUAGAGUGGCGAACGGGUGAGUAACACGUGGGUGACCUACCUUCGAAUGGGGGAUAACGUCCCGAAAGGGACGCUAAUACCGCAUACGUCCUGAGGGAGAAAGCGGGGGAUCGCAAGACCUCGCGCGAUUGGAGCGGCCGAUGCCGGAUUAGCUAGUUGGUGGGGUAAAGGCCUACCAAGGCGACGAUCAGUAACUGGUCUGAGAGGAUGAUCAGUCACAACGGAACUGAGACACGGGCCGGACUCCUACGGGAGGCAGCAGUGGGGAAUAUUGGACAAUGGGCGCAAGCCUGAUCCAGCAAUGCCGCGUGUGUGAAGAAGGCCUUCGGGUUGUAAAGCACUUUCAGUAGGGAGGAAGCGUUGUGUGUUAAUAGUACACAGCGUUGACGUUACCUACAGAAGAAGCACCGGCUAACUCUGUGCCAGCAGCCGCAGUAACAC